rnacentral:rRNA from 1 species
UACGUAGGGGGCAAGCGUUGUCCGGAUUUACUGGGCGUAAAGAGCGCGCAGGCGGUCGUUCAAGUCGCGUGUGAAAGCCCCCGGCUCAACUGGGGAGGGUCACGCGAUACUGAUCGACUCGAAGGCAGGAGAGGGUAGUGGAAUUCCUGGUGUAGCGGUGAAAUGCGCAGAUAUCAGGAGGAACACCAGCGGCGAAGGCGGCGCUCUGGGCCGGUACUGACGCUGAGGAGCGAAAGCGUGGGUAGCAAACAGG